rnacentral:rRNA from 1 species
GCUUAACUUAGGAAUUGCAUUCGAUACUGGGAAGCUAGAGUAUGGGAGAGGAUGGUAGAAUUCCAGGUGUAGCGGUGAAAUGCGUAGAGAUCUGGAGGAAUACCGAUGGCGAAGGCAGCCAUCUGGCCUAAUACUGACGCUGAGGUACGAAAGCAUGGGGAGCAAACAGGAUUAGAUACCCUGGUAGUCCAUGCCGUAAACGAUGUCUACUAGCCGUUGGGGCCUUUGAGGCUUUAGUGGCGCAGCUAACGCGAUAAGUAGACCGCCUGGGGAGUACGGUCGCAAGACUAAAACUCAAAUGAAUUGACGGGGGCCCGCACAAGCGGUGGAGCAUGUGGUUUAAUUCGAUGCAACGCGAAGAACCUUACCUGGUCUUGACAUAGUAAGAACUUUCCAGAGAUGGAUUGGUGCCUUCGAGAACUUACAUACAGGUGCUGCAUGGCUGUCGUCAGCUCGUGUCGUGAGAUGUUGGGUUAAGUCCCGCAACGAGCGCAACCCUUUUCCUUAUUUGCCAGCGGGUUAAGCCGGGAACUUUAAGGAUACUGCCAGUGACAAACUGGAGGAAGGCGGGGACGACGUCAAGUCAUCAUGGCCCUUACGACCAGGGCUACACACGUGCUACAAUGGUCGGUACAAAG